GCAGACGCUGAUCGAAAUCGUCGCGACUAGCCCAUAAUUUUAAUUAAUGGCGAUUAGAAUUAUAUGCGCCGCAGUCAUGAACUAUUACACUCUACAUUUACUGCAUUGGGAUAGUCAAUAGUCAUCUAAAUUUCGAAGCAAGUGCAACAUAUCAGAAUUUAACAUGUCCGACAAUUUCAAACAUCUAUCAAACUCCCGUUAUCUGCUUCCUACCAGGCAUUACGCCGAGUCAUCACUAUGAGGAAGCACUAGGCAAAGUAAUUGCGUAUAGAAAAGUUUAGCACUCACAAUUCUCACAGUUAGCAAAACAUGUUGGACUUAGGAUGUUGUUGUUAGGAUCUUCAUUUUCAACUUUGUACGCGAACAUACUCAACAUCUUCGCCGUUGAUAAGAGGAUAAUUGGAUGUUUAGUUUUGUUUGCUUAACUUGUCUUGCGCAAGUAUGCGAAAGUGCAAUUCAACUGUCUCUGCUCUCUGCUAUUCACUUGGUUAAAACUCUGUGGUCAAUGAGCGUGCGAAAUACAACACAAAUAAAAUGCGACAAUACGAAGUUGUCUUCUAAAGUGCUCUUUAAAAACCGAACACGCCCACAAAUUAACUUUAAUUAAAGGACGUAUAUUAUCUCUUUCUUCGUUAAUAAUACGAUUGAUUAAUUUUUCGUUCAAGCCGAAGAUGUGAUUAAUGGCCAGUGAAGAUAUUUUCUGCAAAGAAAUAUGGUCAUGAAAAUGAAAGAAAUGACAAAUGAAGUGAGGAAAAUAUGAAUGGGGCGUAUCAAGAUGAAGAAUGGCCCAGGUGAAUGGGAGAAAAAGAAAAAACGCUUAAGAGAAUGAAAUGAAUGAGGGUAUUUAGAUAUUUACCUCUGCA